rnacentral:rRNA from 1 species
AGUGAACGCUGGCGGUAGGCCUAACACAUGCAAGUCGAACGGCAGCACAGUAAGAGCUUGCUCUUACGGGUGGCGAGUGGCGGACGGGUGAGGAAUACAUCGGAAUCUACUUUUUCGUGGGGGAUAACGUAGGGAAACUUACGCUAAUACCGCAUACGACCUACGGGUGAAAGCAGGGGAUCUUCGGACCUUGCGCGAUUGAAUGAGCCGAUGUCGGAUUAGCUAGUUGGCGGGGUAAAGGCCCACCAAGGCGACAAUCCGUAGCUGGUCUGAGAGGAUGAUCAGCCACACUGGAACUGAGACACGGUCCAGACUCCUACGGGAGGCAGCAGUGGGGAAUAUUGGACAAUGGGCGCAAGCCUGAUCCAGCCAUACCGCGUGGGUGAAGAAGGCCUUCGGGUUGUAAAGCCCUUUUGUUGGGAAAGAAGAGCAGCAGGUUAAUACCCCGCUGUUCUGACGGUACCCAAAGAAUAAGCACCGGCUAACUUCGUG